rnacentral:rRNA from 1 species
AUUGAACGCUGGCGGCAGGCCUAACACAUGCAAGUCGAGCGAGCGGCGGACGGGUGAGUAAUGUCUGGGAAACUGCCUGCUGGAGGGGGAUAACUACUGGAAACGGUAGCAAAUACCGCAUACCAUCAGAUGUGCCCAGAUGGGAUAGGUUAGUAGGUUGGGUAACGGCUCACCAAGCUGACGAUCCCUAGCUGGUCUGAGAGGAUGACCAGCCACGCGGGAACUGUGACACGGUCCCAACUCCGACGGGAGGCAGCAGUGGGGAAUAUUGCACAAUGGGCGCAAGCCUGAUGCAGCCAUGCCGCGUGUGUGAAGAAGGCCUUCGGGUUGUAAAGCACUUUCAGCGGGGAGGCGUUACCCGCAGAAGAAGCACCGGCUAACUCCGUGCCAGCAGCCGCGGUAAUUC